UCUUCAUUUCGCGUGCUCUCUCAUCGGUCAAAGUGGCGAGAAAACACGCGAAAUGAAGAGA
rnacentral:pre_miRNA from 1 species